rnacentral:rRNA from 1 species
GAUGAACGCUAGCGGGAGGCUUAACACAUGCAAGUCGAGGGGCAGCAUAGGGUAGCAAUACUCUGAUGGCGACCGGCAAACGGGUGAGUAACGCGUAUGCAACCUACCCUGUACAGGGGGAUAACCCGGAGAAAUUCGGACUAAUAUCCCGUAAUAAUAUCCGGAGGCAUCUUUGGAUAUUUAAAGUUCCGACGGUACGGGAUGGGCAUGCGUAACAUUAGCUGGUUGGUAAGGUAACGGCUUACCAAGGCUAUGAUGUUUAGGGGUCCUGAGAGGGUGGUCCCCCACACUGGUACUGAGACACGGACCAGACUCCUACGGGAGGCAGCAGUGAGGAAUAUUGGUCAAUGGGCGCAAGCCUGAACCAGCCAUCCCGCGUGCAGGAAGACGGCCCUAUGGGUUGUAAACUGCUUUUCCAGGGAGAGAAACUUACGCACGUGUUGCGUGACUGACGGUACCCUGGGAAUAAGCAUCGGCUAACUCCGUGCCAGCAGCCGCGGUAAACCGAGAGUA